GAAAAAUCACAUCAACGCAUGUUUUUUUAUCGUAAAUUUUGCAAUUUUAAUGUCGAUAAGACUUUUAUGAGGAUGUUUUAUUGUUGUUUUAUUAAAGCUAUUCUUUCUUUUGCCUUUGUGAGCUGGUUUGGGUCCCUCACUCUUUCAAACUAAUAACAGUAUAUAUUAUUAAGGUGUGUGGCAAAAUGUCCCACGACCCUCUGACUGACUUAAAUUCUCUAUACGAGACCCGGACCCUGAAGACAGCCCAGUCAGUCCUGUCUGAUAUAAG